CAUACUGCAAUACUCUGGUAUUUUGGCAUCCUUUAUUUGUAUAUAUACAUGUGUGUGUGUGUGUGUGUGUGUAUAUAUACAAAUAAAGGAUGCCAAAAUACCAGAGUAUUGCAGUAUA